rnacentral:rRNA from 1 species
GGAGAGCUUGCUCUCUGGAUUAGUGGCGAACGGGUGAGUAACACGUGAGCAACCUGCCCCUGACUCUGGGAUAAGCGCUGGAAACGGCGUCUAAUACUGGAUAUGAGCUCCUGCCGCAUGGUGGGGGUUGGAAAGAUUUUUUGGUUGGGGAUGGGCUCGCGGCCUAUCAGCUUGUUGGUGAGGUAAUGGCUCACCAAGGCGUCGACGGGUAGCCGGCCUGAGAGGGUGACCGGCCACACUGGGACUGAGACACGGCCCAGACUCCUACGGGAGGCAGCAGUGGGGAAUAUUGCACAAUGGGCGGAAGCCUGAUGCAGCAACGCCGCGUGAGGGAUGACGGCCUUCGGGUUGUAAACCUCUUUUAGCAGGGAAGAAGCGAAAGUGACGGUACCUGCAGAAAAAGCACCGGCUAACUACGUGCCAGCAGCCGCGGUAAUACGUAGGGUGCAAGCGUUAUCCGGAAUUAUUGGGCGUAAAGAGCUCGUAGGCGGUCUGUCGCGUCUGCUGUGAAAUCCCGAGGCUCAACCUCGGGCCUGCAGUGGGUACGGGCAGACUAGAGUGCGGUAGGGGAGAUUGGAAUUCCUGGUGUAGCGGUGGAAUGCGCAGAUAUCAGGAGGAACACCGAUGGCGAAGGCAGAUCUCUGGGCCGUAACUGACGCUGAGGAGCGAAAGGGUGGGGAGCAAACAGGCUUAGAUACCCUGGUAGUCCACCCCGUAAACGUUGGGAACUAGUUGUGGGGUCCAUUCCACGGAUUCCGUGACGAAGCUAACGCAUUAAGUUCCCCGCCUGGGGAGUACGGCCGCAAGGCUAAAACUCAAAGGAAUUGACGGGGACCCGCACAAGCGGCGGAGCAUGCGGAUUAAUUCGAUGCAACGCGAAGAACCUUACCAAGGCUUGACAUAUACCGGAAACGGCCAGAGAUGGCCGCCCCGCAAGGUCGGUAUACAGGUGGUGCAUGGUUGUCGUCAGCUCGUGUCGUGAGAUGUUGGGUUAAGUCCCGCAACGAGCGCAACCCUCGUUCUAUGUUGCCAGCACGUAAUGGUGGGAACUCAUGGGAUACUGCCGGGGUCAACUCGGAGGAAGGUGGGGAUGACGUCAAAUCAUCAUGCCCCUUAUGUCUUGGGCUUCACGCAUGCUACAAUGGCCGGUACAAAGGGCUGCGAUACCGUAAGGUGGAGCGAAUCCCAAAAAGCCGGUCCCAGUUCGGAUUGAGGUCUGCAACUCGACCUCAUGAAGUCGGAGUCGCUAGUAAUCGCAGAUCAGCAACGCUGCGGUGAAUACGUUCCCGGGUCUUGUACACACCGCCCGUCAAGUCAUGAAAGUCGGUAACACCUGAAGCCGGUGGCCUAACC